rnacentral:rRNA from 1 species
AACGAACGCUGGCGGCAGGCUUAACACAUGCAAGUCGAGCGCCCCGCAAGGGGAGCGGCCGACGGGUGAGUAACGCGUGGGAACGUACCUUUUGGUUCGGAACAACUCCGGGAAACUGGAGCUAAUACCGGAUAAGCCCUAACGGGGAAAGAUUUAUCGCCGAAAGAUCGGCCCGCGUCUGAUUAGCUAGUUGGUGAGGUAACGGCUCACCAAGGCGACGAUCAGUAGCUGGUCUGAGAGGAUGAUCAGCCACACUGGGACUGAGACACGCCCCAGACUCCUACGGGAGGCAGCAGUGGGGAAUAUUGGACAAUGGGCGCAAGCCUGAUCCAGCCAUGCCGCGUGAGUGAUGAAGGCCUUAGGGUUGUAAAGCUCUUUUGUCCGGGAAGAUAAUGACUGUACCGGAAGAAUAAGCCCCGGCUAACUUCGUG